GGGGUUGUGGCUCAGUGGUAGAGCACUUGCUUAGCAUGUAUGAGGCACUGGGUUUGAUCCUCAGCAGCACAU
rnacentral:tRNA from 1 species